UGGGGAAUAUUGGACAAUGGGCGCAAGCCUGAUCCAGCCAUGCCGCGUGAGUGAUGAAGGCCUUAGGGUUGUAAAGCUCUUUCGCCGACGAAGAUAAUGACGGUAGUCGGAGAAGAAGCCCCGGCUAACUUCGUGCCAGCAGCCGCGGUAAUACGAAGGGGGCUAGCGUUGUUCGGAAUCACUGGGCGUAAAGCGCACGUAGGCGGAUUGUUAAGUCAGGGGUGAAAGCCUGGAGCUCAACUCCAGAACUGCCCUUGAUACUGGCAAUCUCGAGUCCGGAAGAGGUAAGUGGAACUGCGAGUGUAGAGGUGAAAUUCGUAGAUAUUCGCAAGAACACCAGUGGCGAAGGCGGCUUACUGGUCCGGUACUGACGCUGAGGUGCGAAAGCGUGGGGAGCAAAACAGGAUUAGAUACCCUGGUAGUCCACGCCGUAAACGAUGGAGGCUAGCCGUUGGCGAGCAUGCUCGUCAGUGGCGCAGCUAACGCAUUAAGCCUCCCGCCUGGGGAGUACGGUCGCAAGAUUAAAAACUUAAAGGAAUUGACGGGGUCAUAGCUGUUUCCU
rnacentral:rRNA from 1 species